rnacentral:rRNA from 1 species
AGAGUUUGAUUCUGGCUCAGAACGAACGCUGGCAGCGUGGAUUAGGCAUGCAAGUCGAACGGGAAGCCGUGUGUUCUAUCCUUCGGGAGAGAACGUGCGGUGGAGAGUGGCGGAAGGGUGAGGAACACGUGGGCAAUCUACCUUUGAGUUGGGGACACCUUCCUGAAAGGGGAGUUAAUACCGAAUGUGGUUGUUCUGUCGCAUGGCGGAAUAAUUAAAGCCGGGGACUCCGAUUUAUCGGAGCCUGUCGCUCGAAGAGGAGCCCGCGUCCCAUCAGCUUGUUGGUGAGGUAAUGGCUCACCAAGGCUUACGGGUAGCUGGUCUGAGAGGAUGGUCAGCCACACUGGGACUGAGACACUGCCCAGACUCCUACGGGAGGCUGCAGUCGAGGAUCAUUGUCAAUGCGCGAAAGCGUGAACAUGCGACGCUGCGUGGGGGAUGAAGGCCUUCGGGUUGUAAACCCUUGUCAUUCAGGAAAAACAAUCCCGGCGUGAAUAUCGCCGGGACUUGAUGGUACUGAAAGAGGAUCCACGGCUAACUCUGUGCCAGCAGCCGCGGUAAUACAGAGGUGGCGAGCGUUGUUCGGAUUUACUGGGCGUAAAGGGUGCGUAGGUGGUUUUGUAUGUCGGAUGUGAAAGCCCACUGCUCAACGGUGGAACUGCAUUCGAAACUGCGAAGCUAGAGUACAGGAAGGGAGAGCGGAAUUCUUGGUGUAGCGGUGAAAUGUGUUGAUCUCAAGAAGAACACCGGUGGCGAAGGCGGCUCUCUGGAAUGUUACUGACACUGAAGCACGAAAGCUGGGGGAGCAAACAGGAUUAGAUACCCUGGUAGUCCCAGCCGUAAACGGUGUGCACUUGGUGUGGGGAGGCUUUGACCCCUCUCCGUGCCGGAGCUAACGCGUUAAGUGCACCGCCUGGGGAGUACGGCCGCAAGGCUAAAACUCAAAGAAAUUGACGGGGGCCCGCACAAGCGGAGGAGCAUGUGGCUUAAUUCGAUGCAACGCGAAGAACCUUACCAGGGCUUGACAUGCAGCUGCACAUCCGGUGAAAGUCGGAUUCCUUCGAGGGUGCUGCACAGGUGCUGCAUGGCUGUCGUCAGUUCGUGCCGUGAGGUGUUGGGUUAAGUCCCGCAACGAACGCAACCCUUGUGCUUAGUUGCCACCGGCGGUGAUGAGCCGCCGAGCACUCUAGGCAGACUGCCCGUACAAGCGGGAGGAAGGUGGGGAUGACGUCAAGUCAGUAUGGCCCUUACGCCCUGGGCUGCACACGUGCUACAAUGACCGGUACAAUGGGAAGCAAUACCGUGAGGUGGAGCAAAUCCAUAAAGCCGAUCUCAGUUCGGAUUGGAGUCUGCAACUCGACUCCAUGAAGUUGGAUUCGCUAGUAACGGCGCAUCAGCUACGGCGCCGUGAAUACGUUCCCGGGCCUUGUACACACCGCCCGUCACAUCAUGAAAGCCGUCUGCACCCGAAGUCACUGAACCAACCCGCAAGGGAGGGAGGUGCCGAAGGUGUGGGUGGUGAUUGGGAUGAAGUCGUAACAAGGUAGCCGUA